AUUGAACGCUGGCGGCAUGCCUUACACAUGCAAGUCGAACGGUAACGCGGGGCAACCUGGCGACGAGUGGCGAACGGGUGAGUAACGCAUCGGAACGUGCCCAGUAGUGGGGGAUAGCCCGGCGAAAGCCGGAUUAAUACCGCAUACGAACUACGGGUGAAAGCGGGGGACCGUAAGGCCUCGCGCUAUUGGAGCGGCCGAUGUCAGAGUAGGUAGUUGGUGGGGUAAAAGCCUACCAAGCCGACGUUCUGUGGCUGGUCUGAGAGGACGUCCAGCCGCACUGGGACUGAGACCCGUCCCAGACUCCACCGGGAGGCAGCAGUGGGGAAUUUUGGACCAUGGGCGCAAGCCUGUUCCAGCCAUGCCGCGUGCGGGAAGAAGGCCUUCGGGUUGUAAACCGCUUUUGUCAGGGAAGAAACGCUCUGGGAUAAUACCCCGGGGUAAUGACGGUACCUGAAGAAUAAGCACCGGCUAACUCCGUGCCAGCAGCCGCCGUAACAC
rnacentral:rRNA from 1 species